GAAUGCUCUAACACUGGUUUGUGUUGCUUUCUGCCUGACGUCCGUUUUUGGCAUUGGCGAGGCUAACGGUGGAGGUUCCAUACCCGUAUACCCGUCGUCUCGCGGACAGAGAAACAACGGAAACCACUGGUCUUCAUCCUAUCCUGCGCCAUGCACAUUCGGACGUCAACUGGAUCAAAAUGGUUCUUGUCACAGGACAUUGUAUCCCGGGCAACAGUCUUCCUGCAUUUCGGGAUUUAACUGCAACGUUGAUUACCCAGGUCAACCUGGAGUAUGCUGUUUAGCUACCAAUCCAUGCGGCUCUGGAACUCCAUACCGACGUAACGAUGAAGCAAUUAGCUGUGACACACAAAGCUGCCCCCGCGGAUUCAGAUGUAACAGAGGAUAUGGAUACGCUGUUUGCUGCCGAAAUAAUCGGAUCUGCCCACCCAGAGGAUGCUAUGGAGGUUGACACGAAUGCUGAUGCGGUAAAAACGAUAUUAAAUGAAAGUUCACUUUGAUGUGAAUUGUCAACAUUUCAACUUACACUAUUUUCAACAUUUGAUUGAUAUAAAGAAAAUUUCCCUGAA